rnacentral:rRNA from 1 species
AGUAAUGUCUGGGAAACUGCCUGAUGGAGGGGGAUAACUACUGGAAACGGUAGCUAUACCGCAUAACGUCGCAAGACCAAAGUGGGGGACCUUCGGGCCUCAUGCCAUCAGAUGUGCCCAGAUGGGAUUAGCUAGUAGGUGGGGUAACGGCUCACCUAGGCGACGAUCCCUAGCUGGUCUGAGAGGAUGACCAGCCACACUGGAACUGAGACACGGUCCAG